rnacentral:rRNA from 1 species
CUAAGUAUAAGCAAUCUAUACCGUGAAAACUGCGAAUGGCUCAUUAAAUCAGUUAUCGUUUAUUUGAUAGUACCUUACUACUUGGAUAACCGUGGUAAUUCUAGAGCUAAUACAUGCUAAAAACNUCGACUUCGGAAGGGGUGUAUUUAUUAGAUAAAAAACCAAUGCCCUUCGGGGCUCCUUGGUGAUUCAUAAUAACUUAACGAAUCGCAUGGCCUUGUGCCGGCGAUGGUUCAUUCAAAUUUCUGCCCUAUCAACUUUCGAUUGUAGAGUAGUGGUCUACAAUGGUUUCAACGGGUAACGGGGAAUUAGGGUUCUAUUCCGGAGAGGGAGCCUGAGAAACGGCUACCACAUCCAAGGAAGGCAGCAGGCGCGCAAAUUACCCAAUCCCGACACGGGGAGGUAGUGACAAUAAAUACUGAUACAGGGCCCUUUUGGGCCUUGUAAUUGGAAUGAGUACAAUUUAAACCCUUAACGAGGAACAAUUGGAGGGCAAGCCUGGUGCCAGCAGCCGCGGUAAUUCCAGCUCCAAUAGCGUAUAUUAAA